rnacentral:misc_RNA from 1 species
AACGCAUCUUGCACCCCUUGGUAUUCCUGGGGGUAUGCCUGUUUGAGUGUCAUUUUCUUAUUCUCAGUGCAGGGUAGAUGAGAGUCUCUCUGUAUUGGAUGAUGAAGGUUGCUGGUUUCUUAACUCAGCUCCUUUGAAAUGCAUUAGCAGGAAACUGGCAAAAACCGGCUUACAGUUUGAUAGGAUCUAGCUGUUUGCCAUGAAGCCAUAUCUGUUCUGCUUUACCGUCCUCCUGCUGUGGACUGUUCAUCAUUGAGCAAUGUAUAUCAUAACUUGACCUCAAAUCAGGUAGGAUUACCCGCUGAACUUAA